GGGUUGUGAGGUUAAGCGACUAAGCGUACACGGUGGAUGCCCUGGCAGUCAGAGGCGAUGAAGGACGUGCUAAUCUGCGAUAAGCGUCGGUAAGGUGAUAUGAACCGUUAUAACCGGCGAUUUCCGAAUGGGGAAACCCAGUGUGUUUCGACACACUAUCAUUAACUGAAUCCAUAGGUUAAUGAGGCGAACCGGGGGAACUGAAACAUCUAAGUACCCCGAGGAAAAGAAAUCAACCGAGAUUCCCCCAGUAGCGGCGAGCGAACGGGGAGGAGCCCAGAGCCUGAAUCAGUGUGUGUGUUAGUGGAAGCGUCUGGAAAGGCGCGCGAUACAGGGUGACAGCCCCGUACACAAAAAUGCACAUGCUGUGAGCUCGAUGAGUAGGGCGGGACACGUGGUAUCCUGUCUGAAUAUGGGGGGACCAUCCUCCAAGGCUAAAUACUCCUGACUGACCGAUAGUGAACCAGUACCGUGAGGGAAAGGCGAAAAGAACCCCGGCGAGGGGAGUGAAAAAGAACCUGAAACCGUGUACGUACAAGCAGUGGGAGCCUCUUUUAUGGGGUGACUGCGUACCUUUUGUAUAAUGGGUCAGCGACUUAUAUUCUGUAGCAAGGUUAACCGAAUAGGGGAGCCGAAGGGAAACCGAGUCUUAACUGGGCGUUAAGUUGCAGGGUAUAGACCCGAAACCCGGUGAUCUAGCCAUGGGCAGGUUGAAGGUUGGGUAACACUAACUGGAGGACCGAACCGACUAAUGUUGAAAAAUUAGCGGAUGACUUGUGGCUGGGGGUGAAAGGCCAAUCAAACCGGGAGAUAGCUGGUUCUCCCCGAAAGCUAUUUAGGUAGCGCCUCGUGAAUUCAUCUCCGGGGGUAGAGCACUGUUUCGGCAAGGGGGUCAUCCCGACUUACCAACCCGAUGCAAACUGCGAAUACCGGAGAAUGUUAUCACGGGAGACACACGGCGGGUGCUAACGUCCGUCGUGAAGAGGGAAACAACCCAGACCGCCAGCUAAGGUCCCAAAGUCAUGGUUAAGUGGGAAACGAUGUGGGAAGGCCCAGACAGCCAGGAUGUUGGCUUAGAAGCAGCCAUCAUUUAAAGAAAGCGUAAUAGCUCACUGGUCGAGUCGGCCUGCGCGGAAGAUGUAACGGGGCUAAACCAUGCACCGAAGCUGCGGCAGCGACACUGUGUGUUGUUGGGUAGGGGAGCGUUCUGUAAGCCUGUGAAGGUGUACUGUGAGGUAUGCUGGAGGUAUCAGAAGUGCGAAUGCUGACAUAAGUAACGAUAAAGCGGGUGAAAAGCCCGCUCGCCGGAAGACCAAGGGUUCCUGUCCAACGUUAAUCGGGGCAGGGUGAGUCGACCCCUAAGGCGAGGCCGAAAGGCGUAGUCGAUGGGAAACAGGUUAAUAUUCCUGUACUUGGUGUUACUGCGAAGGGGGGACGGAGAAGGCUAUGUUGGCCGGGCGACGGUUGUCCCGGUUUAAGCGUGUAGGCUGGUUUUCCAGGCAAAUCCGGAAAAUCAAGGCUGAGGCGUGAUGACGAGGCACUACGGUGCUGAAGCAACAAAUGCCCUGCUUCCAGGAAAAGCCUCUAAGCAUCAGGUAACAUCAAAUCGUACCCCAAACCGACACAGGUGGUCAGGUAGAGAAUACCAAGGCGCUUGAGAGAACUCGGGUGAAGGAACUAGGCAAAAUGGUGCCGUAACUUCGGGAGAAGGCACGCUGAUAUGUAGGUGAAGCGACUUGCUCGUGGAGCUGAAAUCAGUCGAAGAUACCAGCUGGCUGCAACUGUUUAUUAAAAACACAGCACUGUGCAAACACGAAAGUGGACGUAUACGGUGUGACGCCUGCCCGGUGCCGGAAGGUUAAUUGAUGGGGUCAGCGCAAGCGAAGCUCUUGAUCGAAGCCCCGGUAAACGGCGGCCGUAACUAUAACGGUCCUAAGGUAGCGAAAUUCCUUGUCGGGUAAGUUCCGACCUGCACGAAUGGCGUAAUGAUGGCCAGGCUGUCUCCACCCGAGACUCAGUGAAAUUGAACUCGCUGUGAAGAUGCAGUGUACCCGCGGCAAGACGGAAAGACCCCGUGAACCUUUACUAUAGCUUGACACUGAACAUUGAGCCUUGAUGUGUAGGAUAGGUGGGAGGCUUUGAAGUGUGGACGCCAGUCUGCAUGGAGCCGACCUUGAAAUACCACCCUUUAAUGUUUGAUGUUCUAACGUGGACCCGUGAUCCGGGUUGCGGACAGUGUCUGGUGGGUAGUUUGACUGGGGCGGUCUCCUCCUAAAGAGUAACGGAGGAGCACGAAGGUUGGCUAAUCCUGGUCGGACAUCAGGAGGUUAGUGCAAUGGCAUAAGCCAGCUUGACUGCGAGCGUGACGGCGCGAGCAGGUGCGAAAGCAGGUCAUAGUGAUCCGGUGGUUCUGAAUGGAAGGGCCAUCGCUCAACGGAUAAAAGGUACUCCGGGGAUAACAGGCUGAUACCGCCCAAGAGUUCAUAUCGACGGCGGUGUUUGGCACCUCGAUGUCGGCUCAUCACAUCCUGGGGCUGAAGUAGGUCCCAAGGGUAUGGCUGUUCGCCAUUUAAAGUGGUACGCGAGCUGGGUUUAGAACGUCGUGAGACAGUUCGGUCCCUAUCUGCCGUGGGCGCUGGAGAACUGAGGGGGGCUGCUCCUAGUACGAGAGGACCGGAGUGGACGCAUCACUGGUGUUCGGGUUGUCAUGCCAAUGGCACUGCCCGGUAGCUAAAUGCGGAAGAGAUAAGUGCUGAAAGCAUCUAAGCACGAAACUUGCCCCGAGAUGAGUUCUCCCUGACCCUUUAAGGGUCCUGAAGGAACGUUGAAGACGACGACGUUGAUAGGCCGGGUGUGUAAGCGCAGCGAUGCGUUGAGCUAACCGGUACUAAUGAACCGUGAGGCUUAACCUUACAACGCCGAAGCUGUU
rnacentral:rRNA from 1 species